UACGUAGGGUCCGAGCGUUGUCCGGAAUUAUUGGGCGUAAAGGGCUCGUAGGCGGUCUGUUGCGUCGGGAGUGAAAACUUACAGCUUAACUGUGAGCGUGCUUUCGAUACGGGCAGACUUGAGGCAUUCAGGGGAGAACGGAAUUCCUGGUGUAGCGGUGAAAUGCGCAGAUAUCAGGAGGAACACCAAUAGCGAAGGCAGCUCGCUGGGACGUUACUGACACUGAGGCGCGAAAGCGUGGGGAGCGAACAGG
rnacentral:rRNA from 1 species